rnacentral:misc_RNA from 1 species
CCGAGUUUACAACUCCCACACCCCUGUGAACAUACCUAUACGUUGCCUCGGCGGAUCAGCCCGCGCCCCGUAAAAAGGGACGGCCCGCCCGAGGACCCCUAAACUCUGUUUUUAGUGGAACUUCUGAGUAAAACAAACAAAUAAAUCA